rfam:Gregarina niphandrodes unplaced genomic scaffold scaffold00099, whole genome shotgun sequence.
GCACGGAUGCCGAGUGGCCCAAGGGGGUAGACUCAAGUUCUACCAUGCAGUGCAUGCGCGGGUUCGAAUCCUGCUUCAUGUA